rnacentral:rRNA from 1 species
UGUCCUGAUUCAUUGGGCGUAAAGAGCGUGUAGGCGGCCAGGUAAGUCGGUUGUUAAAACUGGAGGCUCAACCUUCAGAGGUCGACCGAAACCAUCUGGCUAGAGUCCGGGAGAGGAGAGUGGAAUUCCUGGUGUAGCGGUGAAAUGCGCAGAUAUCAGGAAGAACACCCGUGGCGAAAGCGGCUCUCUGGAACGGUACUGACGCUGAGACGCGAAAGCGUGGGGAGCGAACCGG